UACGGAGGGUGCAAGCGUUAUCCGGAUUCACUGGGUUUAAAGGGUAGCGUAGGUGGGCUGGUAAGUCAGUGGUGAAAUCUCCGGAGCCUAACUCGGAAACUGCAUCGGAUACUAUCCGGCUUGAGGGUUGGAGGGGGGACGUGGAAUACUUGGUGUAGCAGUGAAAGCGUAGAAUAUCAAGUGGAACACCAGUGGCGAAGGCGAGUCCCUGGACAA
rnacentral:rRNA from 1 species